rnacentral:rRNA from 1 species
CGUGAAGUCUUCGGACGAGUAAAGUGGCGGACGGGCGAGUAACACGUAAUCAAGCUGCCCCUGAGACGGGGAUAACCUCGGGAAACCGAGGCUAAUACCGGAUGGUCUUCUGGCACCGCCUGGUGCCGGUAGUAAAUGGUGGGGUCUUUCGGGACCUGCUGCUCAGGGAGGUGAUUGCGUCCCAUCAGCUAGUUGGCGGGGUAACGGCCCACCAAGGCGAUGACGGGUAGCCGGCCUGAGAGGGUGGUCGGCCGCACUGGGACUGAGACACUGCCCAGACUCCUACGGGAGGCUGCAGUCGAGAAUCUUCCGCAAUGGGCGCAAGCCUGACGGAGCGACGCCGCGUGGAGGACGAAGGCCCUCGGGUUGUAAACUCCUGUCACGGGUUAUGAAGUUCGCAGUGUGAACAGCGCUGCGAUUGACGUAAGCCCGAGAGGAAGCACUGGCUAACUCUGUGCCAGCAGCCGCGGUAAUACAGAGAGUGCAAACGUUGUUCGGAAUUACUGGGCUUAAAGCGCACGUAGGCGGCACUGUAAGUGUGGGGUGAAAGCCCACGGCUCACCCGUGGAAUUGCCUCGCAUACUGCAGUGCUAGAGUGUGGUAGGGGAGAGCGGAACUCCUGGUGGAGCGGUGAAAUGCGUAGAUAUCAGGAGGAACACCGGUGGCGAAGGCGGCUCUCUGGUCCACAACUGACGCUGAGGUGCGAAAGCUAGGGUAGCGAACGGGAUUAGAUACCCCGGUAGUCCUAGCCGUAAACGAUGGGCACUAGCUUGGGGUCUCCCUGUGUGAUCCCAGGUGAAG